CCUGGCCUUGACAUACUAAGAACUUUCCAGAGAUGGAUUGGUGCCUUCGGGAACUUAGAUACAGGUGCUGCAUGGCUGUCGUCAGCUCGUGUCGUGAGAUGUUGGGUUAAGUCCCGCAACGAGCGCAACCCUUUUCCUUAUUGCCAGCGGGUUAAGCCGGGAACUUUAAGGAUACUGCCAGUGACAAACUGGAGGAAGGCGGGGACGACGUCAAGUCAUCAUGGCCCUUACGGCCAGGGCUACACACGUGCUACAAUGGUCGGUACAAAAGGUUGCUACCUCGCGAGAGGAUGCUAAUCUCAAAAAGCCGAUCGUAGUCCGGAUCGCAGUCUGCAACUCGACUGCGUGAAGUCGGAAUCGCUAGUAAUCGCGGAUCAGAAUGCCGCGGUGAAUACGUUCCCGGGCCUUGUACACACCGCCCGUCACACCAUGGGAGUUUGUUGCACCAGAAGUAGGUAGUCUAACCGCAAGGAGGACGCUUACCACGGUGUGGCCGAUGACUGGGGUGAAGUCGUAACAAGGUAAGCGUAGAUGA
rnacentral:rRNA from 1 species